rnacentral:lncRNA from 1 species
CUCAGCCAAUAAUGGAUGGGCGAUUUAUUUUUCCUAUUCAGUUUAAAAGCAUCUUCUCUCUCUUCUCUGAAGCUAAAAGCCAGAUCAAUGAACACAACAGCUGAUUCCAGGCAUGUGAAUGUGUGAUUGCCUCUACUUAUAACAUUACCAUGGAAACUCGUCCACCAGGGUUCAUCUCUAAACUUCCAAGUGAAAGGUGUUACAAACAUUUGGGUGUUUCUUUCCACUUGUAUUUAACCCUGAAGAAACAGCUCUUCAAUUCCCACGACGUCGUGACUCAGUAUGGCUGGUUACCGAUAACCCACGAUGUCAAACCACAUGCCGUCCCUGCUCCCCAGACACAACAGAACCAACAAUUAAUCGAGUGUCCGGAACUCCUGGAGUCAUCAUGAGAUCAUGACAUCACCUCACCCACAGGUGUGAUGAUGUACAUCUUUAAUCCUCGUACCUGGGAGGUGGAGGCAGGUGGAUCUGGGUUUGAGGACAACCUGGUUUACAUAGCGAGCGCCACAGUGAGACCUUGCCUCAAAUAAGUAAGUAAGGAGUGGGUCCAAGCUGGCUGACUCUGGGAUGGACUAGAGAGCUGUACCUUAUACAGAGGGAGAACCGGAGGAGCCCAGUCAAACCCAUUGUUUCCUUCAGUCUGGUCCAUGCCAAAUGCCUUGAGAAGCAG